AAAACACGAAGUUCCCAAGCACUAUCGUGUAAUUCACAUCUUCAGGGGAAGUGAUGGUGGCCGCUGUAUUACGAGUGUUGUUUCACCUGGUUGUCGCUGUCAUCUUGGUUGUUGCUCAACACCCUCCAAAUGCUUACAAAAACGACAUAUUAUCUUUAGCAACUGGGGCGAUCGACUCUGUGUUGGCAACAGGGAUAAGCCGCAAGUGUUCUAUUUUCCUUUUGACAGACGGCAGGACCUCAACAAACACCAUC